rnacentral:rRNA from 1 species
AUACGGAGGGUGCAAGCGUUAUCCGGAUUCACUGGGUUUAAAGGGUGCGUAGGUGGGCUGAUAAGUCAGCGGUGAAAUCCCCGAGCUUAACUUGGGAACUGCCAUUGAUACUAUCGGUCUUGAAUCUCGCGUAGGUAAGCGGAAUAUGUCAUGUAGCGGUGAAAUGCUUAGAUAUGACAUAGAACACCAAUUGCGAAGGCAGCUUACUUCACGAGUAUUGACACUGAGGCACGAAAGCGUGGGGAGCAAACAGGAUUAGAUACCCUGGUAGUCCACGCCCUAAACGAUGGAUACUCGACAUUAGCGAUACACAGUUAGUGUCUGAGCGAAAGCAUUAAGUAUCCCACCUGGGAAGUACGACCGCAAGGUUGA